GCGUGCGUGGCUUAAUGGUUAGAGCAUUCGACUCACGAUCGUAAAGUGGUGAGUUCGAUUCCCAGGUGUGCU
rnacentral:tRNA from 1 species